rnacentral:rRNA from 1 species
ACUCCUACGGGAGGCAGCAGUAGGGAAUUUUCCGCAAUGGACGAAAGUCUGACGGAGCAAUGCCGCGUGAGUGAUGAAGGUUUUCGAAUUGUAAAGCUCUGUUGUAAGGGAAGAAUAGCAAGAAUAGGAAAUGAUUCUUGUCUGACGGUACCUUACCAGAAAGCCACGGCUAACUACGUGCCAGCAGCCGCGGUAAUACGGAGGGUGCGAGCGUUAAUCGGAAUUACUGGGCGUAAAGCGCAUGCAGGCGGCCUGUUAAGUCAGAUGUGAAAGCCCGGGGCUUAACCUCGGAAUUGCAUUUGAAACUGGCAGGCUAGAGUCUUGUAGAGGGGGGUGAGAAUUUUCAGGGUGUAGCGGUGAAAUGCGUAGAGAUCUGAAGGAAUACCAGUGGCGAAGGCGGCCCCCUCGGAGCAAAGACUA